UUGGAGGGCAAGUCUGGUGCCAGCAGCCGCGGUAAUUCCAGCUCCAAUAGCGUAUAUUAAAGUUAUUGCAGUUAAAAAGCUCGUAGUUGAAUUUCGGGAUCAAAUUGUUGGUCGUGCUUCGGUACGCACUGGCAUUAUUGGUUCCUACCUUCUGAAGAACCGCGAUGUCAUUAAUUUGGUGUCGUGGGGAAUCAGGACUGUUACUUUGAAAAAAUUAGAGUGUUUAAAGCAGGCUUACGCUUGAAUACAUUAGCAUGGAAUAAUGAAAUAGGACGUUUGAUUCUAUUUUGUUGGUUUCUAGGAUCGACGUAAUGAUUAAUAGGGAUAGUUGGGGGCAUUAGUAUUCAAUUGUCAGAGGUGAAAUUCUUGGAUUUAUUGAAGACUAACUACUGCGAAAGCAUUUGCCAAGGAUGUUUUCAUUAAUCAAGAACGAAAGUUAGGGGAUCGAAGACGAUCAGAUACCGUCGUAGUCUUAACCAUAAACUAUGCCGACUAGGGAUCGGAUGAUGUUAAUUUUUUAAUGACUCAUUCGGCGCCUUACGGGAAAC
rnacentral:rRNA from 1 species